GACGAACGCUGGCGGCGCGCUUAACACAUGCAAGUCGAACGGAAAGGCCUGCUUUCCCUUGUGGAUUGCGGGUACUCGAGUGGCGAACGGGUGAGUAACACGUGAGUGAUCUGCCCCCAACUUGGGUAUAAGCCUGGGAAACUGGGUCUAAUUCCCGAUAGGACUGCAGGGUGGUGCCUGUGGUGGAAAACGAUUUUCUAGUGGUUGGGGAUGGGCUCGCGGCCUAUCAGCUUGUUGGUGGGGUAAUGGCCUACCAAGGCGGCGACGGGUAGCCGGCCUGGGAGGGUGGACGGCCACAUUGGGACUGAGAUACGGCCCAGACUCCUACGGGAGGCAGCAGUGGGGAAUAGUGCACAAUGGGCGGAAGCCUGAUGCAGCGACGCCGCGUGGGGGAUGACGGCCUUCGGGUUGUAAACUCCUUUCGACCGCGAGGAAGCCACCUGGUUGGAAGGGUGGUGACGGUAGUGGUAGAAGAAGCACCGGCUAACUACGUG
rnacentral:rRNA from 1 species